rnacentral:rRNA from 1 species
GUGUCAGCAGCCGCGGUAAUACGUAGGGGGCAAGCGUUGUCCGGAAUCAUUGGGCGUAAAGAGCGCGUAGGCGGUCCGGUAAGUCCGCUGUGAAAGUCAAGGGCUCAACCCUUGAAUGCCGGUGGAUACUGUCGGGCUAGAGUCCGGAAGAGGCGAGUGGAAUUCCUGGUGUAGCGGUGAAAUGCGCAGAUAUCAGGAGGAACACCAAUGGCGAAGGCAGCUCGCUGGGACGGUACUGACGCUGAGGCGCGAAAGCGUGGGGAGCAAACAGGAUUAGAUACCCGCGUAGUCC